CACCGACAUCAGCGAUUCAUUCUGUGAGCCUGCGCCCACCGCCAGGUAAGCGUGCAUCCCCAGCUCUUUCAUCUGCUGCUCGCCAAUCACGCGCGUGGUGAUGUUUUUGCUGUAGGCAUCGGCCAGCUGGCGCGCCUGCGAAGCAAGAUAAGCGGGAUUACAGAUAUUUGGCGGCAUAUUACCAAGGUCUUUCGC
rnacentral:antisense_RNA from 1 species